AAAACCUGAAAUUAUUUUGUAUAAUUUAUUUGUUUUGGAUAUUUUUUUGUUAUGUAUUAGGCUUGACUGAUGUCGCAGUUUGUCAUUAUCAUUGUGAAGAAAGAUUUAACUUGUCAUAAUCUACAUAAUUUCAUUGCUUAUUAUAGAGAAAAUAACUUUAAUUUUGAUCAUAUUUAUUUUCAAUUAAAUUAGUGUUCUACAAAAUAUGGUAUAUAUUUUAUCUGAGAAACAUUUUAUUGCUUUAAACAAACAAUGUAUUUUAAUCAGCUUUUUUAACUUUUACAUUCAAACAGUUGUUAAAUUAAAUCUAAAAUGCCUUUAAAACAAACGAGUGAGUUUAUAUGUAGAUCCAGUAUCGCUGCAGUUUGCCUUCACAGUUCGUUAGUUUAAAGUGGUGAAAAGGAAGUGAAACUCACAGAUGACAAAGUCUUUCACUGGAUACAGAUGUUACAUUUUGUCAAUAAAAAGUUAUUUACUGCCACAUUUUGAAGCAGAUAUUAAAAAUGUAUUCAAAGGUUAGUUAUUUCAUAUUUUAGCUACAUUCAAAAAUUAGUCAGGUUGCAAUAUGUUGUCUAAUUAUUAGUGAUUGAUGAUGAGUGCCACAGAAGAAGAUUGAUGACUUUAAAUGACAUCAAGUUUGAUGAUGUAGUUUUCUGUGUUAAAGCCUCAUUUCCUCCCAUGUCUGGGCUCCUCUCCUCUGUCUGAUCUCAGUAUCAUGCACACAGUUCAUCCACAGUAGUGUUGACCUCUGUCAUGUCUCAUAAGUGUCUCAUGUUGAGCUGUCUGUCCUCCAGUCAAGUUCAUCUGCUCCUUGUGUGUCUCUGCUCUCCCCUCCAGCUGGCCCCAUGCUCAGGCCCUCAGUCUCUCUGCUUCCCCCCUCCUCUGAGCGGCUCUCUGGGGCCUCGGCCACGCUGGUCUGCCUGCUGAGCGGCUACUCUCCUCAGGGAGCCGUGGUGAGCUGGGAGGUGGACGCUACAGAGGUGACAGAGGGGGUCCUGAGCAGCUCCGAGGAGGAGAAGAGCGGACGCUACAGCAGCAGCAGCACCCUGAGCCUGAGCCAGGAGCGCUGGAUGGAAGGAGAGCUGUUCUCCUGCAGGGUCCUCCAUCAUGGCCACAGCCAGACCCGCUCCCUCCGCAGGAGCCAGUGUGAGGGCUAGAGGGGCUGGCUGAAGCCCAGGACAGCAGCUCUGUGUGUGGGGAGCAGGAGGAACACACCUGCUGCUCUCAUCAAUAGGAGUUUGAAUGUUUGUAGAGGAAACUAAAGCUUUGUGUGGCAGAGAACAACAGCUGUAAAGUGUUGGACAACAACAACUUAGAGAGUAAUGUGAGGAGCUCAGCAGCUAGAUGUGACUGUGCUUCAUGACUGUCAUGUUGAUGACUCGUGUUUUUGCUAAUAAAGCUUUCACUGAAUAAUAA